UACGGAGGGCGCAAGCGUUGUUCGGAAUCACUGGGCGUAAAGCGCGUGUAGGCGGCUUGGCAAGUCGGGUGUGAAAUCCCGAGGCUCAACCUCGGAACUGCACUCGAAACUGCUUGGCUAGAGUCCCGGAGAGGGGGGCGGAAUUCCCGGUGUAGGGGUGAAAUCCGUAGAUAUCGGGAGGAACACCAGUGGCGAAGGCGGCCACCUGGACGGUGUCUGACGCUGAGACGCGAAAGCGUUGAGAGCAAACAGG
rnacentral:rRNA from 1 species